CCUGAUUUGAGGCCUACUGCGUGCUACUCGAUUCCAGCAAACACUAAAAAGUUCUUUUUGCAGAUGUCGCUCUAUAACUUUGUGGUGGAUCAUCCUAACAUUGCUUUGUGUGACCCCGAAUUAACCGCCUGGUGCUUAAAUUUGCCUUCAGAUUACAGUCAGCUCGUACAAGAUGAAGAAGCGUUUUUCCAUUUUCUGCAAGAACA